UUCAGGGACGAAGGCCCAAGUGGGACAGAGUUGACGACAAAAUUAGAACAAACUUACCAGGCCAGUCUCAGAUGUCGGCAACCAGUCAUCCGAGGGAAAUUUGUAGAGGUUUUCAACAGCAGUAUUACACAUAGAGUGUUUGAGAGACUGCUCUACACAACAUGUUCACAGAACUGGGAACUGAUGGGUGGACACUUCUGGAUCAAACAGUGAAUUGAGGAUGAGAUAGAUUUAGAACUUGGUGUUGCUGCUGAUGAGGCAACACAGAAGGAAUCUCCAAAGAAAGAGAUACAGGACCCAAAACCGAACUUACAGACAUUACUGCAGAGGCAAGCAAAGUUCCUGGAGAAUUGCAGGGAAGUCAAGACUGUUCAGUAUUUGGGGGCUUUAAGCCAGUUGUGUCACAGCUCAGCUGAUCUCAGCCAUGUGUCAUCCCAGUGCAAUACACACAUUUAUGGAGAGUCUAGCCUUCUGUGUUCCACCAGUACAUAUCAGACCAAGUGUACUCAAGUAUUUGGGUCAAACACAUAACCUCUGGUACAGAUCUUGCCUAUUGUUGGAAUAGAUAGCAUUUGAUAAUGCUCCAUCAGGGCCGGUGAAGAGAGGCGGGACCAGUGAAUACGAGUUGGAAAAUUCGAGUUCAGAUGCUCCU